UACGUAGGGCGCAAGCGUUGUCCGGAAUUAUUGGGCGUAAAGAGCUCGUAGGUGGUUUGUCGCGUUGUUCGUGAAAACUCACAGCUUAACUGUGGGCGUGCGGGCGAUACGGGCAGACUGGAGUACUGCAGGGGAGACUGGAAUUCCUGGUGUAGCGGUGGAAUGCGUAGAUAUCUGGAGAAACACCGGUGGCGAAGGCGGCAUCCUGGACCGAGAUUGACGCUGAUGCGCGAAAGCCAGGGGAGCAAACGGG
rnacentral:rRNA from 1 species